rnacentral:rRNA from 1 species
GGCCGGGGGGGGUUUUUUUUUUUUAAUUUUUUUUUUUUUUUCCCAGACGACGCUGGCGGCGUGCCUAAUACAUGCAAGUCGAGCGGACAGAUGGGAGCUUGCUCCCUGAUGUUAGCGGCGGACGGGUGAGUAACACGUGGGUAACCUGCCUGUAAGACUGGGAUAACUCCGGGAAACCGGGGCUAAUACCGGAUGCUUGUUUGAACCGCAUGGUUCAAACAUAAAAGGUGGCUUCGGCUACCACUUACAGAUGGACCCGCGGCGCAUUAGCUAGUUGGUGAGGUAAUGGCUCACCAAGGCAACGAUGCGUAGCCGACCUGAGAGGGUGAUCGGCCACACUGGGACUGAGACACGGCCCAGACUCCUACGGGAGGCAGCAGUAGGGAAUCUUCCGCAAUGGACGAAAGUCUGACGGAGCAACGCCGCGUGAGUGAUGAAGGUUUUCGGAUCGUAAAGCUCUGUUGUUAGGGAAGAACAAGUACCGUUCGAAUAGGGCGGUACCUUGACGGUACCUAACCAGAAAGCCACGGCUAACUACGUGCCAGCAGCCGCGGUAAUACGUAGGUGGCAAGCGUUGUCCGGAAUUAUUGGGCGUAAAGGGCUCGCAGGCGGUUUCUUAAGUCUGAUGUGAAAGCCCCCGGCUCAACCGGGGAGGGUCAUUGGAAACUGGGGAACUUGAGUGCAGAAGAGGAGAGUGGAAUUCCACGUGUAGCGGUGAAAUGCGUAGAGAUGUGGAGGAACACCAGUGGCGAAGGCGACUCUCUGGUCUGUAACUGACGCUGAGAGCGAAAAGAAG